rnacentral:tRNA from 2 species
GCCCUGGUGGUGUAGCUCGGCCUAUCAUACAGGACUGUCACUCCUGUGACUCGGGUUCAAAUCCCGGCCAGGGCGCCU